GAUGAACGCUGGCGGCGUGCUUAACACAUGCAAGUCGAGCGAGUGAGUUUUUCGGAACGAUCUAGCGGCGGACGGGUGAGUAACACGUGGGCAACCUGCCUCAUAGAGGGGAAUAGCCUCCCGAAAGGGAGAUUAAUACCGCAUAAAAUUAUCGAGUGGCAUCACACGAUAAUCAAAGGAGUAAUCCGCUAUGAGAUGGGCCCGCGGCGCAUUAGCUAGUUGGUGAGGUAACGGCUCACCAAGGCGACGAUGCGUAGCCGACCUGAGAGGGUGAUCGGCCACAUUGGGACUGAGACACGGCCCAGACUCCUACGGGAGGCAGCAGUGGGGAAUAUUGCACAAUGGGGGAAACCCUGAUGCAGCAACGCCGCGUGAGUGAUGAAGGUCUUCGGAUUGUAAAGCUCUGUCUUUGGGGACGAUAAUGACGGUACCCAAGGAGGAAGCCACGGCUAACUACGUGCCAGCCGCCGCGGUAA
rnacentral:rRNA from 1 species